CCAUUAACUUUUUUGGUUCUUAUGCACUGUCUCAGCAUGUAGAAAUUAGUAUAUACAACUAGGGUAGAGCACCAUACUAAAAUCUACAGCUUGGGUUUAGGAACCAAGAAGUGUUUCAUAAGGAAACUAUAGUGGAGGCCUAAAGGAUGGCAUUCUGGGUGUAAAUCCUUACCUGAAGUAAAUUGGAAGCAUAUGAUGUACUUAAUAAACUCAAGGUCUUGGGAAGAGGCUUAAAAACUGAAUACUAGUCGCAUGUGUUGGUUGCUUUGGGUAGCAUUUAAUGAAGUACUAAGUCUAAAUUGCUAAGUGGCUGACUACUCGGACCCAAGAUCUCCUGCUAAUCCAUGAGAGACAUGUGAAAACCUUUGCUCUUCUAUACAAUUGAAAUUUGGGGCAUAUUGGUUACCUUAGCAAAACCAAGCCUGUUCUGAUAGAAAUGUAGCUCACUUAACAGGUGAAAAAGCUGAAAGAUAUCUGGUGACUAUCUCAAUAUUUCAAAGCAAUUACAGGUAGAGCCGACAUAAACCAGCGUGUUUUGUCAUUGUAAACCAGCGUGUGGCUUUUUGGGCACCGAACAGGACCUUCUCCAAAUAGAUCUUUCUUCUUUAACCCCUGUCAGAACUUGUGCAAAAAUGGAGUAAAUGCCCUUUGGUUCAUGAAGUCUCUCCUGAGGAGAUGCACAACUUGCUCAAGAAGACAAAACCCGGGGGUCAUAGUCUAAUAUUCCAGUUCAAGGAGAAAGGAGACGAAACAGAAACCUCUACAACACACACAGGAAGUAUGCCCUCCUCAAUUCUUCAGAAAUGAACAUCUGCAAAUGGCAAGAAGAAAUCUGAACUAAUCUGAACUAUUUAUAUGACUUCCAAAAUCAACACUGAAGGGUGGAGGCUUUACAUACAAGAAUCAAGUAAACACUCAAAAAUUAAAUAUAAACCUUGUACUAGGCAAGCAGCUUUUCAGACUCUGCUGAGUGUUUCAAAAGUACUUGUGUCUUGCCAUGUUUUCAUCUCUUACCUCCUAUUGAGUGAACCCACCUCAAAAGUUUGAGGUCAGAUGAGCAGGAAUGUUUGAUAGAGCUCAGCCUGUCCUGAUUUGUGGAUUGGAAUAACAGCAGUCUUUCCAUGAGAUCAAAGCCUCCCUCUAACCACAGAGACCUGUGAAUGAAUGAAUGCAAAGAUUCUUAUCCUCAAUUUCCAUUUUUCAUGCAAUUUCAUGCAGAUUAUUUUAUAGUCAUGCCCUGACAGUACAUUAGCAUUUUAACAAGAACUUGUAACAGUACGACUGCAAUACACAGCCAAGGAGCAAGCCAGCGCCUUUCUUUCUGCAUCAGAUUUCCCUGGGACCAUGAUGAUGUCCAUGCUACAAAGACUAUUUUAAGUGGCUAAGUAUGGAUGCUGGAGAUUCAGUAAAUACAUCAGCUAAUCUGCCAUGAAGAGAUAGCCUGAAUCCUCAACUGAAAAAGAAUUCCCCGAAAAAUAAGAGGCUAAGACUAUGUGAAUUCAGAAAAAACCUCUAAGGAGCUGGCAGUCAGUAUACACAGCAUCUGUACCCUGCUUCUGAAUGAAAUCAAGCAACAACAAAGGCCUGAAGCUGAAUCACCAGGAUGGUUCCAGUAUCAUUAGAACUCAUAGUUCAUAAAUGUAGUCCAGUACAAUCGGGCUAUUCCUGCAGAUAGUGGAUGGCAGAUAAGUGAAGUCAGAUGGACAGCCUUGUGCCAAAUGAUUUGGAUGAGAGUGAAAGGUUGCCAGGACAGAGGGAGAUAGAACUACGAGGUCAUAUCCUCUUCUUCAGGGCACAGUGUUGGAGAACGCUGGAGAAGCUGAUGUGUAAAGACUAGUACCAACUACCUGUCUUCAUCGACAGUGUUGAGGCACACAGAUUAUUUACAAAAAAAAAAAAAAAAAGAAUCCAGUACCAAAUUGAACCUGUCUUUGGAGAGAGAAAAACAACUGAGAUUUUGUAAACUUUUUUUUUUUUUAUUUGAGAAGGAAAUUUUUCAGUUAAAUAGUCCUCUGAUACAGAUCAAACUAAGUUUACUGCAAUCUCAAGGAAAUGGGGAGAAGCUGACUUUACUUACUACAAGGACUAAGCCAAGCUGAGACCACCACAGAUAAAUGACUAAAUUUAGGGAUGAUGAGGAAGUAACUUUGUGUUAACAACAACAACAAAAAUCAAGAUUCUCCACACCUUGUGGAAAUAUAAGAAAGAACUAAUUUUAUGAUAUACUUUGGAGAUGUUUGUUGGAAAAGUUUAAGGUGGUUUUAUCUAAAGCCAGCAAAUGAAAAUGUAAUGAGUGAAAAUGAUUCUGUGAACGUGGGACUUUUAGCUUGUUUUGAAAUUAUGUUGAAAUAAAGAAAGAGUGAUAGUUUAAUAAUAAGUGCACUCGGAAGGAUAAAUGGUCUUCCUCUGGAAGGCCACACACACAAAAAUUAGGUAAUAAAAUUGCCAGAGCAUCAUUAGGACUACUUGGGGUCCUGUGUCCUUUGACUAUCCAGUCUGUUGUCCUGUGAGCAGGGCGGGUCACUUGGCUCUCAGUGUCCCGGCACAGACCACAAAGCCAUCCAACUCCCUUUGCCCUGACAGUCCUGGCUGACCAUGCCCACUGCAAACCUUGAUUUUCUUUCUUAGCAACUGUUCCAUUAUUCUAAUCUCCUUCCAUGAUACCUUUUACAAAAAUAAUUCUUAGGUAGCAUUUAUCAUAUUGUAUUAUAGUCAUUUCUUUUUUGAAAGUGUUUAUUGUCAAACAUAUCACGUGUAUAUAAAAAAUCAUAUAACUUAUAGGUAUAGUUUAAAGAAUAAGUAAUUUUUAAAAAGCCAUGUUCCCAUCAUACAGGUUAAAACCCCUUGAUCUCAUCUCCCUCUCACCCCAAUCCACCCAGAGAGAACCAUCAUUCUGCAUUUUAAAUUAAUCAUCCCCUUGCCUUUCUUUAUAGUUUCAUGACUACUGUAUAUAUCCCUAAAUAACCUAUUCUUCAUACUUUAUGUAUUCUUUGGUGACUGCUUCUUUCACUCAUGGUGCAUUUCUGAGAUUUCUCCGUGUUGAUUCAUGUAACUGGAGUUAAUUCAGUUUCACUGCUAUGUGUCUUCCAUGGUAUCAAUGAAUAUAUUUAGUCAGGCUAUUGGGGACAGGUAUUUGGUUUAUUUCCUGGUUUUUAGUUAGCAAUCAGUGUUGCUGUGAACAUUCUUGUAUAUGUGUCCUGGUGUACAUGUGGGAGAGUUCUUCUGAAGAUAUCUAGAUAUUGAAUUGCUGGGUCAGAAAGUUCAAAAUUACUAGGCAAUGCCAAACUUCUCUAAAAAAUUUUUUUAAAAGAUUUAUUUAUUUAUUUGAAAGAGUGAGAAUGAGAGAGAGUACAUGAGAGGGGAGAGGGUCAGAGGGAGAAGCAGGCUCCUCGCUGAGCAGGGAGCCCGACGCAGGACUCCAUCCCGGGACUCCAGGAUCAUGACCUGAGCCGAAGGCAGUUGCUUAACCAACUGAGCCACCCAGGUGCCCCUCUAAAAAAUAAUUUUAUCAGUUUAAACCUUCACCAGCAAUGGGUGAACAUCUCGGUUGUUUCAUAUCUGUGUAAACACCAGAUAUUAUCCACCUUUUUAAUUCUGACAACUUAGUGGAUAGGAAAUAGUUUUAAUUUGCAUUUCUAUAACUAAUGGGGUAGGGAAUCUUCACAUUUCUUUUUUUACCUUCUUCUUUACCUCUUCAUCCCCUUUACCUAUUUUGCCAUUCCCCCACCACAUCCCCCUCUGGCAGCCCCUAGUUUGUUUUCUGUAGUUAUGGGUCUGUUUCUGUUUGGUUUGUUUGUUUUGUUUUUUAGAUUCCACAUAUAAAUGAAGUCAUAUGGUAUCUGUCUCUCUCUGUCUGACUUAUUUCACUUAAUGUAAAACCCUAUAGGUUCUUCAUCUUUCAUGUUUCUGUAAACCAGAAUGGAGAGCCCAGGGAACAGCCCCACAUAUUUGUGGAAACCUUAAUUACAACAGAAUGGGCAUUGCAAAUCAGUUAGGCAAAGAUGGACUGGAACAAUUAAUUCUCCCUUGCAGAAAAACAAACAAAUGAACAAAUUAAAAAUGGACCCUAUCUUAAAUCAUGCACAAAAUCUGUUUCAAAUAGGCUGAAGAUAUAAAUAUAAGGAAAAACUAUAAAACUUUCAGAAGGUAAUUUAGGAGAAUACCUUUAUUAUUACAGUCUUAAAGGAUUUCUUUAACUAGAAACAAGAAGCACAAAUAUUAUCAGAAAAACAUUGAUAAAUUCAACUACAUUAAAAUUAAGUACAUCCUUGACUCGCUGAUCUACAUUAAUAGAUCCAUUUUCUAAAUAUGUGUGAGCUCUCCUCAGUUCUGUUUUUCUACCCGCCUCUCCCUUAUCUGACUGAUAUCAUACUGUCUUAAUUACAAUAGCUUCAAAGUGAUUUCUUUUUUUUAAAGAUUUAUUUAUCUGAAAGAGAGUGCAUGGGGGUAGGGGAAGGGGCAGAGGGAAAGGGAGAGAGAAUCUCAAGCAGACUCCAUGCUGAGCACAAGAGGCCAAUCUAAGGACCCUGAGAUCAUGACCUGAGCAAAACCAAGAAUUGGAUGCUCAACUGACUACAUCACCCAGGCGCCUGUAAUGGAAAGUCCUCAAUCUUCCUCUUCUUUGUUAUAAAUGAUUAUUCAUUGCCCUUUUGUCUUCCAUUUAUAUUUUAAAAUGACUUUGUCAUAUUUCUUUUAAAAGAACCCUGUUGGAAUUGUUUUGGAAUUGCUUCAAAUCUGAAGAUCAGUUUGAGGAAAGGUGAAAUCUAUCAUACUGAGUCUCUAUCCAGGGACAUGAUAUAUUUAUCCAUUUAUUUACAUUGUUUAUGCUUUUAACAAUAGUUUACAGUUUUUACCUUACAAGCCCUAAAAUGUGUUGUUACUUUUAUUAAAAAUAUUUUUUUUUAAUUCUGUCUUCUAGCUGAUUUGUGUUGUAGAGUAAUUCAAGUAACUUGCUAUAUUGAUUUUGUUUUAAGCAACUUUUCUAAGCUCUUAAUCACUCUAAUAAUAGAAUCUUUAGGGUCUCCUACAUAAAUUUUAUUCAUUUAUUCAAUAAAUAUUUAUUAAAUGCCUCCUCUGUUCCAGGCACUCUUUAAGACCCUGGGGAUUCAAUAGUGAAUAAAAAAGAAAAAAUAAAUCCCCAGUGAAAUGGAAUUUAUAUUCUAUUAGGGAGAGAUAGACAAUAAACAAAUAAAAUAUACAGCCAUUAGAUGGCAAGAAGCACUUUGGAGAAAAAGUAAGAAAGAGAGAAGGGGAAUGCUGGAAGGAAGAAGAAGAGAGAAGGGUUUAAUUUUUAAAUACGGUGAUCAGAAAAAGCCACCCUGAGAAAUAGACACUUCUGUAAGGAUCUGAAGGAGUGAGUCCUUGGAGAACUUUGGAGUAGCGCUGUAAGCAGGGAGAACAGCAAGUAAAAAGGGUCUGAGGUAGGAGCUUGACUGGUUUCUUUGAGAGACAGCAAUAAGGCAGCAAGGCAAGAACACAGAGAAAUGAAGUCAGAGUUGUGACCCAGGACCAGAUACUGCAUGGUCUCAUAGACUAUCAUACGGUCUGUCCCUUCAUCCUUUAUAAUCUGGGUGCUUGUUAAUAUCUUUUUCUUACACUCUGCAUUGUCUGGGACAACCAGUAGAGAAUGUUGAGGAAGAAUAGUAGUAGUAGAAGGUAUCCUUACUUUAUUCUUGAUGUUAAAGGGAAUGGUUUCAAUAUGUCACCAUUAUUUAGGGUUUUGGCUACAGGUUUUCUGGAGACCCUUUAUUUGGUUAAGAAAGUUUUCUCCCCAUUCCUGGCUUACUAAGAGCUUUUUCUUUUCCUUCUUCUUCAUCUUUUUAAAUCAUGACUGGAUAUUGAAUUUUAUUAAACAUAUUUUUUUGCAUAUGAUGAUAUGAUCAUCUAUUAAAGUGUGAAUUAAAUCAAUUAAUUUUCUACUGUUAAACCAACUUUGCAUUCCUUGGAUGAAACUGACUUAUCAGUGAUGCUUUAAAUACAGUUGGUUCUUGAACAACAUGGGUUCGAACUGCACGGGUCCACUUUAUACGUGAAUUUUUCCAAUAAAUACAGUACUGUAAGUGUAUUUUCUCUUCCUUGUGAUUUUCUUAGUAAUGUUUUCUUUUUAAAAAAUAUUUAUUUUUGGGACACCUGGGUGGCUCAGUCGGUUAAGCGGCUGCCUUCGGCUCAGGUCAUGAUCCCAGGGUCCUGGGAUCGAGUCCCACAUCAGGCUCCUUGCUCGGCGGGGAGCCUGCUUCUCCCUCUGCCUGCCUCUCCCCCUGCUUGU